ACUCAAAUGAAUUGACGGGGGCCCGCACAAGCAGCGGAGCGUGUGGUUUAAUUCGAUGCAACGCGAAGAACCUUACCCGGGCUUGACAUGCACGUGGUACCGAGGCGAAAGCCGAGGGACCCGCGAGGGAGCGUGCACAGGUGCUGCACGGCUGUCGUCAGCUCGUGCCGUGAGGUGUUGGGUUAAGUCCCGCAACGAGCGCAACCCCCGCGGCCAGUUACGGUGUCUGGUCGGACCGCCGGGACCAACCCGGAGGAAGGUGGGGACGACGUCAAGUCAGCGUGGCCCUUACGUCCGGGGCGACACACACGCUACAAUGGUCGGGACAAUGGGCAGCGAGGGGGCGACCCGGAGCGAAUCCCAGCAAACCCGGCCCCAGUUCGGAUCGGAGGCUGCAACCCGCCUCCGUGAAGUCGGAGUUGCUAGUAACCGCAGGUCAGCACACUGCGGUGAAUGCGUUCCCGGGCCUUGUACACACCGCCCGU
rnacentral:rRNA from 1 species